UUUUAUGGAGAGUUUGAUCCUGGCUCAGGAUGAACGCUGGCGGCGUGCCUAAUACAUGCAAGUCGAGCGAACGGACGAGAAGCUUGCUUCUCUGAUGUUAGCGGCGGACGGGUGAGUAACACGUGGAUAACCUACCUAUAAGACUGGGAUAACUUCGGGAAACCGGAGCUAAUACCGGAUAAUAUUUUGAACCGCAUGGUUCAAAAGUGAAAGACGGUCUUGCUGUCACUUAUAGAUGGAUCCGCGCUGCAUUAGCUAGUUGGUAAGGUAACGGCUUACCAAGGCAACGAUGCAUAGCCGACCUGAGAGGGUGAUCGGCCACACUGGAACUGAGACACGGUCCAGACUCCUACGGGAGGCAGCAGUAGGGAAUCUUCCGCAAUGGGCGAAAGCCUGACGGAGCAACGCCGCGUGAGUGAUGAAGGUCUUCGGAUCGUAAAACUCUGUUAUUAGGGAAGAACAUAUGUGUAAGUAACUGUGCACAUCUUGACGGUACCUAAUCAGAAAGCCACGGCUAACUACGUGCCAGCAGCCGCGGUAAUACGUAGGUGGCAAGCGUUAUCCGGAAUUAUUGGGCGUAAAGCGCGCGUAGGCGGUUUUUUAAGUCUGAUGUGAAAGCCCACGGCUCAACCGUGGAGGGUCAUUGGAAACUGGAAAACUUGAGUGCAGAAGAGGAAAGUGGAAUUCCAUGUGUAGCGGUGAAAUGCGCAGAGAUAUGGAGGAACACCAGUGGCGAAGGCGACUUUCUGGUCUGUAACUGACGCUGAUGUGCGAAAGCGUGGGGAUCAAACAGGAUUAGAUACCCUGGUAGUCCACGCCGUAAACGAUGAGUGCUAAGUGUUAGGGGGUUUCCGCCCCUUAGUGCUGCAGCUAACGCAUUAAGCACUCCGCCUGGGGAGUACGACCGCAAGGUUGAAACUCAAAGGAAUUGACGGGGACCCGCACAAGCGGUGGAGCAUGUGGUUUAAUUCGAAGCAACGCGAAGAACCUUACCAAAUCUUGACAUCCUUUGACAACUCUAGAGAUAGAGCCUUCCCCUUCGGGGGACAAAGUGACAGGUGGUGCAUGGUUGUCGUCAGCUCGUGUCGUGAGAUGUUGGGUUAAGUCCCGCAACGAGCGCAACCCUUAAGCUUAGUUGCCAUCAUUAAGUUGGGCACUCUAAGUUGACUGCCGGUGACAAACCGGAGGAAGGUGGGGAUGACGUCAAAUCAUCAUGCCCCUUAUGAUUUGGGCUACACACGUGCUACAAUGGACAAUACAAAGGGCAGCGAAACCGCGAGGUCAAGCAAAUCCCAUAAAGUUGUUCUCAGUUCGGAUUGUAGUCUGCAACUCGACUACAUGAAGCUGGAAUCGCUAGUAAUCGUAGAUCAGCAUGCUACGGUGAAUACGUUCCCGGGUCUUGUACACACCGCCCGUCACACCACGAGAGUUUGUAACACCCGAAGCCGGUGGAGUAA
rnacentral:rRNA from 1 species